UACGGGGGGGGCAAGCGUUGUUCGGAAUUACUGGGCGUAAAGGGCUCGUAGGCGGCCACCUAAGUCAGACGUGAAAUCCCUCGGCUUAACCGGGGAACUGCGUCUGAUACUGGAUGGCUUGAGUUUGGGAGAGGGAUGCGGAAUUCCAGGUGUAGCGGUGAAAUGCGUAGAUAUCAGGAAGAACACCCGUGGCUAAGGCGGUUCUCUAGUACGGUACUGACGCUGAGACGCGAAAGCGUGGGGAGCGAACAGG
rnacentral:rRNA from 1 species